AUCUUCGGGGCGGGAAAACAUGAAAACAAACAGGACGUUUUUAAAUAUAUUUUUUAUUUUUUUAUUAACAACAAAUCAAUACAGAAGUGUGGAUGGACCUGGUCCUACUGAGUGGCUGCUGGUUGAACUCCAGGGGUAAUGAUGUCCAGGCAGAACUCUGGAUUGGCUGGGAACCUGAUGGGAGAUCUGCUCUACACCAGAGGCACUUGACAACAUGGCACUAUAAUGCAGUGCUAGUACACUCUUCUGUUACCUCUUUCCACUCAGAGUGUCUUGUCUUUACUGUGCUCACCUGUGUCCCCUCCCCAGGGUGUACCUGUGCUCAUUGUGGGACACCACAUCCUCUAUGGGAAGGUGGUCAAACUGGAGAAGCCCUUCGCUGUCCUGAUGAAACACUCUGGCCUCCCACAGCGGGAGAAGGUUCCCAUGGAAAUCAACCAGCAGAACCCCACCACCUACUCUAUUUCCGUCCUCAUCCAGAAGAAGCUCAUCUUCAAUACUCGCCCAAAGCCCAUCAUCACUAAUGUGGCCAAGAAACUGUAGUGAAGUGCUUGGUCAUAUACAUUAUAGGGCUCACUGUCGCAAAACACUUUUAACUGGAAAAAAAUGGACAAGUUCAGAUAGUCCCUGUUGCAGUCUGUUUUCUUCCGUUUUGUGCCUGUUGCAGUCUGUUUUCUUCCGUUUUGUGCCUAACGACCUUGACCCUGGUCACCUCUAUGGGAGCAAAGGACAUGCUGCACUCUUAAUGACGCCAGACCCACAAGAAUGGAGCACCCAUUGCAAGACUGUACUUGGGACACACUCCUCUGGCUUGAGGUUAUGGGACAUCUGAAACUAGGCUGUGUGCAUAUUUGUUUUGUUAUGUCAGUGGUUUUACACUGCUGGAAUUUGCUUAACGCUGUGGUGUAUUAUUAAAAUGUCUUUAUUAUUGCACUUAUCAGAUGACAGGAUUUAGUCAUGUCUUGACAUGACAUUUGUACAGUGAUUACUUUCAGAUGGGGAAGAAAUCACCACAACAGUCGAAUGAGAAUCUUUUUUUUAUUCAGAUAAAAAAUACAUUUUUUUUCAACUGCUGUACAAGUCGGAAAAAUAACUGUUUUGAUUUGAAAUACAAAACCUUUUUCCAACAACAUGUCUUGCCUUCUAUAUUUAAACAUAAUGAAAUACAUAGGUGGUUACAAUACUUUAUUUUCAGCUAUUACAUACCAAUAAAAUGUGUAUUUUAUGUUUCAA